UUUUCAUAGAGUAUUGUCGCAAUAGAAGUGAUUUAUGUGUCUGAUUUCAGUUUUAUUAAUUAUAAAUAUCGCUUCAUAUACAUAUGUAAGUAUUUAAAUUCAGGCUUGCAAAGUCUUUUACAUAUUCGUAUAAUAAUUCAUUAUCGACAUUGGUUACGUCAUCUCUUUGAAUGAUGUAUGCGUGAAAAUAUUAUGUCGAUGAAAUGUCCCCUUCAUUUGUAAAUAGCUCCACAAAAGGGAAAUUUCCGUAACUUAACAACACUGCUUGGAAAUAUAAAAAAAGUGUCAAAAAAUGCAGAAACUAUAAAAUGAAGUGAAGUGAAUUACAAAAUAUGCAGCUAUUGUAUAUUACGUGCGUUCAUAAAAGCGAGCUACGCAGUUGCUACGAAGCUCUGCAAUUGGCUAUUUGUGCACAAGUUGGAGCGUUUUGCAGUGGCUUGGAUAAUAAGUGCAACCCCGCUACCUGAUCGUCCUCGCCAGCGCCGUUUAGGUCGGCGAAGUAUCUCAGAAGUUGUCCGUCCAUAGGGCAACAUUCACUA